CUUGAACGCUGGCGGCAGGCCUAACACAUGCAAGUCGAACGAGUGGCGGACGGGUGAGUAAUGUCUGGGAAACUGACCGAUGGAGGGGGAUCACUACUGGAAACGGUAGCUAAUACCGCAUACCAUCGGAUGUGCCCAGAUGGGAUUAGGUAGUUGGUGAGGUAAAGGCUCACCAAGCAGACGAUCUCUAGCUGGUCGGAGAGGAUGAAAAGCAACACUGGGACUGAGACACGGCCAAUACGCCGACGGGAGGCAGCAGUGGGGAAGAUUGCGCAAUGGGGGCAACCUUGACGCAGCCAUGCGGCGGUAAUGAAGAAGGCCUUCGGGUUGUAAAGUUCUUUCGGUAGCGAGGCGUUAACUACAGAAGAAGCACCGGCUAACUCCGUGCCAGCCGCCGCGGUAAGAC
rnacentral:rRNA from 1 species